AUACCCUAUUAUUUUUUUUUAAUAUUAAUUGAUUAUUAUUAGAUAUAUACUUUAAAAAUCAAAGAUUUUGGCGGUUAAUUAAUUCUUUUUAGAGGAACAUGUAUUUUAAUUGAUAAUCCACGAUAUUUUUUACCAAUUAUUUAUUUGUAUAUCUCUAUUGUUAGAAGGUUAUAUUAAUAAAUUUCUUUUUCUUUAUUUAGAUGAAUUUUAGGUCAAGGUGCAGUUAUUAAUUUGGUUUUUAUGUGUUAUUUUUAUUUUAAAAAAUUANAAUUCUUCUUGAUUGUUUUUUAGGAUUUAAUAGUAAAUUUAAUUAAUUAAUUAAUUUGAAUUAANUUCUAAUUAAUGUACACUUC
rnacentral:rRNA from 1 species